AGAUUGAACGCUGGCGGCAGGCCUAACACAUGCAAGUCGAGCGGUAGAGAGGUGCUUGCACCUCUUGAGAGCGGCGGACGGGUGAGUAAUGCCUAGGAAUCUGCCUAGUGGUGGGGGAUAACGUUCGGAAACGGACGCUAAUACCGCAUACGUCCUACGGGAGAAAGCGGGGACCUUCGGGCCUCGCGCCAUUAGAUGAGCCUAGGUCGGAUUAGCUAGUUGGUGAGGUAAUGGCUCACCAGGCGACGAUCCGUAACUGGUCUGAGAGGAUGAUCAGUCACACUGGAACUGAGACACGGUCCAGACCUCCGUACGGGAGCAGCAGGUAGGGAAUAGUUAGGACAAGUGGGACGAAAGCCUGACUCCGAGCCAGUCGCCGCGUGUGAGGAAGGAGGUUCGUUACGGUAUUUAGAAAGUCUAA
rnacentral:rRNA from 1 species